rnacentral:rRNA from 1 species
UGGUGGAGUGAUUUGUCUGGUUAAUUCCGUUAACGAACGAGACCUCAAUUCUUAAAUAGGGUGGGGAAAUUUCUACCGGGUGAAGUGUAAGAGUGUGGUGGUGGCCUAAAACCAUUGCUGCCUCUUGCAUGGAUCCUUGAAUCUUUCCUCCAUUCUUCUUAAGAAGACUAUUGGGGAAUACCUAAUGGAAGUGAGGCAAUAACA